AAUUCAACCAAGCACAGGAAAACGGUGGGAGUAACUAUGACUCUCUUAAGGUAUCCAAAUGAAUCGCCAUCUAAUUAGUGAUGCACAUGAAUGGAUUAACUAGAUUCCCACUAUCCCUAUCUACUAUCUGGUGAAACCAUAACCAAGGGAAUGGGCUUGGCAUAAUCAACAGGGAAAGAAGACCUUGUUGAGAUUGACUCUAGUUCAACUUUGUGAAAUGAAUUGAGAGCUGAAGAAUAAGUGGGAAUCGUUUUCAGCACAAAUGAAAUACCACUACUUUUAACAUUAUUUUGCUUAUAAUUUUGUGGGGCGGAGACGGGGAAAUUACCCUAUUUUUGGCCAUAAGUCAUGUUUCGAUGGGUCGAUCUAAAAGGAAGACAUUUCUAGGUGGGGAUUUUGUAUGGGGAAACACAUCUAUUCAAAUAUAACAUAAAAUAUAAUUGGUGUAUAUAGAACAUUUGUAUUUGGGAUAUCCUGUGCACAACCACCCUUAUUACCUUUCCCUCCUAAUUUGUAGU
rnacentral:ncRNA from 1 species